UACGAAGGGGGCUAGCGUUGUUCGGAAUUACUGGGCGUAAAGCGCGCGCAGGCGGUCUUUUAAGUCAGGGGUGAAAGCCCAGAGCUCAACUCUGGAAUUGCCCUUGAAACUAGAGGACUUGGGUACGGGAGAGGUGAGUGGAAUUCCGAGUGUAGAGGUGAAAUUCGUAGAUAUUCGGAAGAACACCAGUGGCGAAGGCGGCUCACUGGCCCGUUACCGACGCUCAGGCGCGACAGCGUGGGGAGCAAACAGG
rnacentral:rRNA from 1 species